rnacentral:rRNA from 1 species
UACACAUGCAAGUCGAACGGGGGAGGGAGCAACCCCUUGAGAGUGGCGAACGGGUGAGUAAUAUAUCGGAACGUGCCCAGUCGUGGGGGAUAACGUAGCGAAAGUUACGCUAAUACCGCAUACGAUCUACGGAUGAAAGCGGGGGAUCGCAAGACCUCGCGCGACUGGAGCGGCCGAUAUCAGAUUAGGUAGUUGGUGGGGUAAAGGCUCACCAAGCCAACGAUCUGUAGCUGGUCUGAGAGGACGACCAGCCACACUGGAACUGAGACACGGUCCAGACUCCUACGGGAGGCAGCAGUGGGGAAUUUUGGACAAUGGACGCAAGUCUGAUCCAGCCAUUCCGCGUGCAGGAUGAAGGCCCUCGGGUUGUAAACUGCUUUUGUACGGAACGAAAAGGUCUCUCCUAAUACGAGAGGCUCAUGACGGUACCGUAAGAAUAAGCACCGGCUAACUACGUGCCAGCAGCCGCGGUAAUACGUAGGGUGCAAGCGUUAAUCGGAAUUACUGGGCGUAAAGCGUGCGCAGGCGGUUAUAUAAGACAGAUGUGAAAUCCCCGGGCUCAACCUGGGAACUGCAUUUGUGACUGUAUAGCUAGAGUACGGUAGAGGGGGAUGGAAUUCCGCGUGUAGCAGUGAAAUGCGUAGAUAUGCGGAGGAACACCGAUGGCGAAGGCAAUCCCCUGGACCUGUACUGACGCUCAUGCACGAAAGCGUGGGGAGCAAACAGGAUUAGAUACCCUGGUAGUCCACGCCCUAAACGAUGUCAACUGGUUGUUGGGUCUUAACUGACUCAGUAACGAAGCUAACGCGUGAAGUUGACCGCCUGGGGAGUACGGCCG